GGACUCCGAAUCGAAUUCUGAUUUGAACUUGUGGGAUUUCCUUUUUGGAGAUGGAAGUAUGGACGUGGAUGAAACCUCCAAGUAUGUGGUUUGGUUAAUAGUGGUAAACAAAACAAAGGAAUUUGGAAAAUCCAAUCUGAUUUGUGGAGAGAAACAAAUAAACUCAAAUCUGCGAUAGUGACACAAACGUGACAAGAACUCGAAACUCUAAACGACUAGACGCUAAGACCAGCAACAUGACACGACGAUGCAACCGUUAAUUCAAUAAGCCCUAACUAAGCAGUAAUAGUAAAAGGCUCAAAGGGUUUUUUGGGAUUAUUGAGAACUAAUCUACUAAUUUUUGGGCCUUUUCUGGACUAUAGGAAAUUAAAAAACAGCAAAGAACUAGAAGUCUCUCAC
rnacentral:lncRNA from 1 species